GACGAACGCUGGCGGCGUGCCUAAUACAUGCAAGUAGAACGCUGAAACUUGGUGCUUGCACCGAGCGGAUGAGUUGCGAACGGGUGAGUAACGCGUAGGUAACCUGCCUGGUAGCGGGGGAUAACUAUUGGAAACGAUAGCUAAUACCGCAUAAGAGUAGAUGUUGCAUGACAUUUGCUUAAAAGGUGCAAUUGCACCACUACCAGAUGGACCUGCGUUGUAUUAGCUAGUUGGUGGGGUAACGGCUCACCAAGGCGACGAUACAUAGCCGACCUGAGAGGGUGAUCGGCCACACUGGGACUGAGACACGGCCCAGACUCCUACGGGAGGCAGCAGUAGGGAAUCUUCGGCAAUGGACGGAAGUCUGACCGAGCAACGCCGCGUGAGUGAAGAAGGUUUUCGGAUCGUAAAGCUCUGUUGUAAGAGAAGAACGAGUGUGAGAGUGGAAAGUUCACACUGUGACGGUGUCUUACCAGAAAGGGACGGCUAACUACGUG
rnacentral:rRNA from 1 species